GCAGGGCUCCACUGACUUUUUAAAAGUUACAGGCUUUAUUUAGAGCAGUUUUAGGUUCACAGCAAAAUGGAGAGGAACGUACAGGGAUACCCCACGGCUCCCUCCCCGGCGGGCCCGCUCCCCCGCGCCCACCCUCUCGCCUGCGCCCCCUGCGCCCCCUUCCUCCCCCACACCGCGUCCCCUCCUCGCACAGCGGUGCAUUUGGUACGGCGGGCUGCCAUCACCACCCUGACCGUCACCCGAGCUGUGCGUUCUGCGGUUUGGACAGAGUGUAAAGACAGGGCCCGCCACUGCCACACAGAGCUGCUCCGCCCGCAGACCCUCUGCCCGCCGCCCGUCCCCGAUUCGGUUGCUGGGUUGGGCUCCUCUUUAAACCGAGCGGCUUCUCCCGCUCACCGAGGCGCGGCGGGGGCGCGGCGGGGUCUGGGCGUGGCCGGCUGGGGGCGUGGCCGAGGCCCCCUAAAAUCCCCGCGCUCCCUCCGGCGCUGGGGGCCAUGCGGACGAGGGGCGCGCAGCUGACUCUGCGUGGCGUCGCCCUGCUGUGCGCCCUCGGCCUGGGCCAGAGCUGCUCCGGGGCUCCGCUCUGCGGCCCCGGCCUCCUCCUGCUCGGGACGGGCACGGAUGCGCGCUGCUGCCGCUCGUGCGCCUCGGCCGAAGUCUGUCCUGAGCAGAGCUGCGUGUGUGUGCGACCCGAGUACCACUGUGGAGACCCGCAGUGCCAGGUCUGCAAGCACCACCCAUGCCCACCUGGCCAGGGGGUUCGGCCUCAAGGACCCUCACUGGCCUCCUGCCCUCAGCCCAGUGGACCAAGUGUAAGGCCCGACCUGGUCUUGCCCCACUGCCACCUGCUCCCGGCACCCCCAGAACCUCCAGCCUGCAGCAGGCGGCCUCUCCGCUCCCCUCCCCUCCCCUCUGCCACACUCCUGCUCUCCUGCCCCCACCCCCCAUCCGCAUCUGUCCAGGGAGCCUCCGCUCAACCCAGGCACCCGCAGACGCCAGCCCUAGGCGGGGCCCACAGGGCGCUGGUGCACCCCAGGUCCAGGUCCUGGGGCAUCAGAGACCUCUGUCAAGCGGAUGAGGUGUGUGUGGUCAUUCUCCGGCGGGCCUGGGCCCCAGAUGGCCCCCACUGCACCCCCAGCCACCCCGCAGCCUGUCUGCCUGUCUGUCUCCAGGGAAGUUCAGUUUCGGCUUCGAGUGUGUGGACUGUGCCACAGGGACCUUCUCUGAGGGCCACGAAGGCCGCUGCAAACCUUGGGCAGACUGCUCCCGCUUUGGGUUCCCCACCAUGUUCCCUGGGAACAGGACGCACAAUGCCGUGUGCAGCCCGGGGCUGACGCCCGCCGAGCCUCGCGGCCUGCUGGCCGUCGUGCUGCUCACCAUGGUGGCCUGCGUCCUGGUUCUGACCGCCACCCAGCUUGGCCUGCACAUCUGGCAGCUGAAGAGGCCGCAAGCAUGGCCUCCAGAGGUCCAGCUGCUCCCGGAGGCACCGCCGGCGGCCGAGGACGCCUGCAGCUGCCAGUUCCCUGAGGAAGAGCGAGGGGAGCGACUGUCAGAGGACAAGGGCCGGCGGGGGCACCUGUGGGCGUGAGGCCUGGCGGUC